GAUGAACGCUAGCGGCAGGCCUAACACAUGCAAGUCGAGGGGUAACAGGGGGUUCGCCCCGCUGACGACCGGCGCACGGGUGAGUAACGCGUAUGCAACCUGCCCUCAACAGGGGAACAGCCCGGAGAAAUCCGGAUUAAUGCCCCAUGGCAUCUUGGUGCCGCAUGGCACUGGGAUUAAAGUUCCGGCGGUUGAGGAUGGGCAUGCGUGACAUUAGGUAGUUGGUGGGAUAACGGCCCACCAAGCCGACGAUGUCUAGGGGGCCUGAGAGGGUAGUCCCCCACACUGGUACUGAGACACGGACCAGACUCCUACGGGAGGCAGCAGUGAGGAAUAUUGGUCAAUGGAGGCAACUCUGAUCCAGCCAUGCCGCGUGCAGGAAGACUGCCCUAUGGGUUGUAAACUGCUUUUAUACGGGAAGAAACACUGCUACGUGUAGCAGCUUGACGGUACCGUAAGAAUAAGGAUCGGCUAACUCCGUGCCAGCAGCCGCGGUAAUACGGAGGAUCC
rnacentral:rRNA from 1 species